GGGUUCGAUUCCGGAGAGGGAGCCUGAGAAACGGCUACCACAUCCAAGGAAGGCAGCAGGCGCGCAAAUUACCCAAUUCGGACACCGAGAGGUGGCGACGAGGAAUAUCAGGUCGUUUCCAUAUGGAUGCGACACUGGAAUGAGCACAAUUUAAGACAUUUGUUGAGUAACAACUGGAGGGCAAGUCUGGUGCCAGCAGCCGCGGUAAUUCCAGCUCCAGUAGUGUAGUCUAAAGUUGCUGCGGUUAAAACGCUCGUAGUUGAAUGACGCAGCGGGAAGCAAUGCAUUGGCACGAGCUACGUAACAGCCUCUGGUGCUGCUUGUUCAUCCGAACGGGUGAACAUAGAUGUGCAUCCAGAGGUGUGGGGAGUGUCAUAUAAGCGCGGCAUCCUGAUGCUAAAUGGUGGGGAUGGCUAAACAACCUUAAUUGUGUUGGUGGCCGUGUCCUAUCGAGUGUGCCUUGAAUAAACCAGAGUGCUCCAAACAGGCAAUAGCUUGUAUGUGAAUAGCAUGGAACGAACAAACGUGAUUUACGUGGCUGCUGGUCGCUGCGGCGGGCCUCGCUCGCAUGUGGUGGAUCAGUGGCCACAGCACCAACCACCAUAGGCGGAAGUUGGUUUCCGUAGAUGGGGUGAUGAUUAAGACGAACGGUUGGGGGCGUUGGUAUUUGACCGCGAGAGGUGAAAUUCUUAGACCGGUCAAGGACUAUCAAAUGCGAAGGCAUUCGCCAAGACCGUUUCGAUUGAUCAAGAGCGAAAGUGAGAGGUUCGAAGAUGAUUAGAUACCAUCGUAGUUCUCACAGUAAACAAUGCCAACCCCGGGAUCAGCUUUGAGCUAAUAUAAAACGCUCGUGGUUGGUCCCCCCGGGAAACCUGAAGUUUUUAGGUUCCGGGGGGAGUAUGGUUGCAAGGCUGAAACUUAAAGGAAUUGACGGAAGGGCACCACCAGGAGUGGAGCCUGCGGCUCAAUUUGACUCAACACGGGAAAACUCACCUGGUCCGCACAUCGACAGGAUUGACAGGCUGUAGACCUUUCAAGAUACGGUGUAUGGUGGUGCAUGGCCGUUCUUAGUUCGUGAAGUGAUUUGUCUGGUCGAUUCCGAUAACUUGAACGAGACCUCUGUCUCCAUUUUUGGCGUUGAUGAAGUGACGGCGGGUGGCAGUAAUGCCACUGCAGCUGGAGCGCUGGCAAAACAGUCAGGCGUUGUGUUUUGGCAUGGGGAGGUUCGCCAAUCCAUGUCAGGCCGGCGUUUGGCUGGGAUUCCCAUCAAACAAACAGGGCAGUGUGUGGUUAAUAGCUGCAUGCUGUUUUCUGUGCAAUGGAGAGACUACCGCGUAUAUCAAAGGCGGGUGAAGUAGAGGCAAAAACAGGUCUGUGAUGCCCUAAGAUGUCCAGGGCCGCACGCGCGCUACAAUGACGACAACAAUGAGUAUCUAGGUCGAAAGACCCCGACAAUCUUGUAAAUUGUCGUCGUGAAGUGGAUUGUGCUUUGCAAUUAUCGCACAUAAAAUCGGAAUUCCUAGUAAGUACACGGAAUCAGCGUGUGCUGAUUGCGUCCCUGCCCUUUGUACACACCGCCCGUCGCUACUACCGAGUGAAUAGUGUCAUGAUGCGUUAGGACGACGUUGCCCUUACAGCUG
rnacentral:rRNA from 1 species